rnacentral:lncRNA from 1 species
AAAAAAAUCACAGUCCUAAGAAGUGCACCAGGAAAUGGUUUUGGAAGAGAUGAAGAGCCAUUUCUCUGUGUGAGGACUUCGCAGCAGAAACAUGGGGAAAAAUGCAUUCUGUGUGUUCAACGCCAACCACCUCUGAAGCUGGUCCUUCAUUUGAGUGAGUUCUGCGCUGGUUAGAGGACACCGAGGCCCAUGUUUGAUCCAACACCACCCAGGAGGGCGUGAUAAUCUGGGGGCUCC